AUUGAACGCUGGCGGCAGGCUUAACACAUGCAAGUCGAACGAGUGGCGGACGGGUGAGUAAUGCUUGGGAAACUGCCCGAUAGAGGGGGAUAACUACUGGAAACGGUGGCUAAUACCGCAUACCAUCCGAUGAACCCAUAUGGGAUUAGCUAGUAGGGUGGGUAAAGGCUCACCAAGGCGACGAUCCCUAGCUGGUCUGAGAGGAUGACCAGCCACACUGGGACUGAGACACGGCUCAGACUCCUACGGGAGGCAGCAGUGGGGAAUAUUGCACAAUGGGCGCAAGCCUGAUGCAGCCAUGCCGCGUGUAUGAAGAAGGCCUUAGGGUUGUAAAGUACUUUCAGCGGGGAGGCGUUACCCGCAGAAGAAGCACCGGCUAACUCCGUGCCAGCAGCCGCGGUAAUAC
rnacentral:rRNA from 1 species